AGGAUCAUGGAGUAGUUUCCUACAGCUGCCAUGAAAAAAUAUUCCACAAAUUAGGUGUUUUCAAAGCCUCUUGUGUCUGUGUGUGAGCAUAGAAGAAAGGUCUGUGAGAAUAUAAUGAACAAGUGGCCAUCACCCCCGAGAGUAUCUGAUCUUGGACCUCCUGAGCCUCCUGAGCCAUGAGAUGGAGAUUUGCCUCACUUGUCACGAAGUCUGCAGCAUUUUGUCAUGGUGGCUCCAGCAGGUUUAUGCCAACACCCAGGAAGAGGUAGAGAAUCUUCCCUCAUUUCUCCUGAUGGGCCAUGAAAUAGCAUGGCUUUCAACUGGGAACAUUUACUGAAAACCCAAAACAAAAGAAGUGAAUGGCAGAGGACAUACAUAACCCCCUGGGCUGUGAUCUCUAAGUUCCACAUUCAGGAGCCUUGACUGUGGACAUUGAGGGAGUGAAGAAAGCAUUGACACAGA